UCCUACUUUGCUCAACUAAAAUAAAUCUGAAUCUUGAUGGAUUAGAUUUCAGAAAACACACAAUGUCUUUAGUGUAACAAAAAUACAACUAGCAGAUUAUGAUGGUGAUAUGAUGCUGCAGUAACACUGAUUGCAACGGGGAUGAGAAAAAUAGAAUGUGAAAGAAGAGUGGAGGAGAGGCAAAAGGAUGCGCAUGAAGUGGACAAGGAUGCAAUGUUCUAAAAUUAGAUGCCCAAGAGUGGAAUAAAUCUAGUGGUUGCAAUAGGAUGCUGAUUAAAAAUAGGAUGCUGAUUAUAGAAUGUGCAAGAGCACUUACAAUAGGAUGUAUGAAUGGAAGAAAGGAACAUGCAGGUGGCAGUGAGUAAGAAUAGGUUGCUCACGGGUGGAAGUGAAAACGUGCAUGCAAUGGCCUAAAAAUAUAGGGUGCGCAUGAGUGAAAAGAGAGUGGUGGAUGGAGUUUACACGGUGCCCAAGUAGGGUGGUGAUGGCAGUUUAGAUAUAUAGUGUAGUCCAAAUGUAUAUGAUAAUAGUGAUUGCAGCAGAGAUUAUACGAUGGGCAGUGACUAAAACGUGACAAGAACUCGAAACUCCAAAAGUCUAAACCCAAUACCAGCAAUUCGACUCGACCGAUGUAAAUCAAACACAACUUGCCUGAACUAAGUAGUACUAGUAUAAGGCUCAAUGGGUCAUAGGAUGUUGGGAAUGAAAACUAAAUUUUUUUUGGCUUUUCUGGACUAUAGGAAAAAAAAUUGCAAACUAAAAUCUCUCACCAAUCAAACCUUGCUCUGAUUACCACAUAAUAAGAACGACGGUGUCCCGAUCUUUCGGUGGAGAUGGAUAACUUCGAUCUCUCUGGAGCGACGUUCACGAUCCGACUAUAACCGUCCAAGGACGCUGCACCUUAGCGAUCGAUACACCAAUUCCAGCGGUUGAUCACGAUCUUGUUGAUCACAACCAACCAAACCACUAGGGUAAUUCCUGCACGCAAUCGAAGAACAUGCAAGAACAGAUAGAACAGGCACUCAAUUGCCAAAUAAUACAAGAAGGAUCUGAUAUGAAUCACGAUAACAAUAUGGGGUUUUGAAUCAAGUAGAACGGAUGGUCUAGUCGACACAUGCGUCUACAAGGAAGUAGCAAUGGCUAAACUUACAACAAAACAAAACCCGCCUUGUGUCUCUGGCUGUAGAAGCCUUUAUGUACAAGAGAGAGCAACCAGAGUGUGUGCUGCUAAUCCCUCGACUCACUAAAAACAAAAGAAAACAAUAAUAUCCAUAUCAUGCAUGGAGUUUCUUAUUGAAUGAAGCUGUCCACAGAAAGGUCUCUGGAGUAACUCGACGAUUGCGGCCGCCCCAUUAUAGAUAUGGACAUGGGACUGGAUCCAUGUGAAAAUAGACUUCAUAAGCUUUCCACCGUGUAUUUGAACAUCAAAAUCGGUCACCGUAUGUAGUCUUGGUGGCCACCACAAGUUGAGACCCUUUUGCAGUCCAAAUUUAGCCCAUCGCGAAUAUGCUUCCUUGCGGUUCCUCCUCAUUAUUCCUGUCCAAAACAAAGGUGCAUGGGUUUCCACGGUCUAAAUAAUACAACAAAUAACUUAGGAAUGAACUCACUAGAUAGUUGAGUUAUCAUGCAUAUGAAUCUGAGGCGUGGAUGUAUUGAUGGUGCUCAUGUCCUCAUCAUCCUCCCCUUCUUGCAUUUGAGUCGUCCUCGACUCAAGCUUGUCCUCUUCUAUUGAUGGUACUCAUGUCCUCAUUAGGUACACUGUUUGUGCCUAAUGCACCAUAGGCUAAGAAACUAUUUUGGACGCACGCGAUGGUACUCCUUGGUGAAGAGGCUCAUGUGGAAUCUUGGUUCUGUGUGUUUGGAGAUAGUUCUAAUCUUGAUGCAAGAUAGGUGCAUGGUUUGCAUGGAACAUACUAUAUGCUCAGAAAUCAAUUUGGACACACGCGAUGGAACUGUAGAUGCACCCGAUGGAACUACUAGAUGAAGUGUAUCAUAUGGAAUCUUGCUUUGGUCCAGUUGGAGUGUAUCAUCAUCCUCCCCUUCUUGCAUUUGAGUCGUCCUCGACUCAAGCUUGUCCUCUUCUCCCAAGUAGGGCAUAAUGGUCCCCAAUCAACUUCAUUCACCAUCCAUACUUUCAAUAUGCAAUCAAAUAUUCUCCUGAUCCAUGUAAGUAUUACGGAGCAGGUGAUGUCCUCAUCAUUCUCCCCUUCUUGACAGCAAACUGUCCUCGGUUUAAUCAUUGGUGGAGCAUGUGUUGUCAGAAUUGAUGAACCUUGCUCUCCUGCUUGAUACUUGCCCUGUUCCAUCAUAAGAAAACUAGGCAAACCCGCCAUGACAUGGUUAUGGUUAUUGCACACUUCUAGUUGGUCAUAUUGUUUCACAAUAAAAGGAGAUUUUAUGUUUGAAUAAAUGUAAAUUCGGUGUACCAUAUACUCCUUUGCAUAAUUAUAUUUGCCAAUUGCAUGAAAACUAACAUUGGAAGAGCAUGACAAUUCAAAUCUAGAAAACUGAUUAUUCUCUAAAUAGCUAAGCUCAAAAAGAUCAUCGAAUUCAAUGUACCCCAUUAUAUGUAAAGAUGACAACAAUUGAGCUUCUUCAUUUUCAUUUACAAUAUUAAUAACAUGCUUGAAUUCGACACUCAUUGAUUUAGAAUUCUUUUCUUUGUAUACUAGUUGUGGCAUGGAUAUAGGUGAUGCACUAUUGCACAACUCUUCUUUGUCACUAGGAACAUCAGGAAUAUCGAAGUUUGACAAAGGAAAAUUAGUAAUUGGUUCCAUAAUUGUUUUCUCUAAGUUAGCAGCAUUAGUGGACAAAUGCAGCUCAUCUAAUGCAAGGUCACCUUGAUUUAUGUUACCACCAUCUAAUUUACCUUUGAUGCUGUGUUGAAAUGGAGUGGGUGCAGCUAGAUUUACGCUCUCUUUAAAUGACUCAUCUAGUAUCUCAAGUUGCACGCUUUCCAUGUGUAUGUUGUCUUCUUGUUGCUGCAAAUUGUUAGUAAUAGGAGAGACACGUACUUCUAUAAUACUUGCGAGAUCCCUUUCUAACUCACAAGCAAGAUCAAACAAUUCAUCAAAGGUGUUAUAAUACUUAUCAACAAGAAUGUUCUGAAUUUCUACAUUAAGACCUUGCAGAAAUCUAUGUUCCAAAAGUUCAUCAGUUUCUUCUAAUCCACAUCGCAGCACACACAAUUUUAGUUUAUCCAAUUAUUCCGCUACGGUUUUGUUUUCUUGGUUUAUAGAUUGUAGUUUUUCAAACAAAAUUUCAGAAUAGUACUCAUGGACUAAAACAUCUCUAAAAUGUCUUUUCACAUCUUUCCAUGUUUGAGGAGCUUUAUGAAAUCUACAAAGGUAUUUCCAUGAACUUAAAGCAUACUCAGUAAGAACACUGGAAGCAACUCUAAUCUUUUGGCUUUCAGAUAGAUUAUGCUUUUUAAAUUCAUUGUCUACAUUUAGCUCCCAUUUAAUAUAUGCAUGUGGAUCACAAUUUCCUUCAAAAUAAGGUAAUGCAGAUUUUAUUUCAUCUAGCAAAACAUCACAUACCUCAUGAGUGCCAUACUUAUCACUUGCCACACCUUUAGCAAAGUGAUGUGAACAUGCAAUCUGAUUAUCGCUUGUUUCUAUGUGGAUUCCUGCCAUGAUUAGAACAAAACAAGAGACAUACGCAAUAAUCUUUAUGCUCCUAUCAACUACAAGGAUGUGGUUGUUGUAAUUAUUUCACUCUCACCCUAUGCAAACAAGUUCUCACAAGUUCUUGCCAAGCGAAACAGGAGGUGGCAGGAACCAACAAGUCAGAAAACCUAGAAAAUGGUGUAUCAACGCUGCAGCAACAACACUUGUCAAGUUGUAGUCUGAUAUGUGGAGUUAUAGGAUGGCUCUAUAUAUUGCACAAGGAAGUACUAGCACCACAAUAGUCACAAAAGCAUGUUGAGAAAUCAUUCAACGGUGGCACUGUGCUGGUCCUAGGCUAGACCGUGCUAGAGACGCGAGCCUGGACACAGAUGAAGUCACAAUAUCACAAGAAUAAUAAGAACAACAAGAGAUAACUUCCCUUCUUUUCCUCUUCCUUUCUUUUCUUUCCUUUUUUUCCUUUUUAUUUUCUUUUUUUCUGAUAUUUUUUGUUUCUUUCUGUUUUUUCCUACUUUGCUCAACUCAAAUAAAUCUGAAUCUUGAUGGAUUAGAUUUCAGAAAACACACAAUGUCUUUAGUGUAACAAAAAUACAACUAGCAGAUUAUGAUGGUGAUAUGAUGCUGCAGUAACACUGAUUGCAACGGGGAUGAGAAAAAUAGAAUGUGAAAGAAGAGUGGAGGAGAGGCAAAAGGAUGCGCAUGAAGUGGACAAGGAUGCAAUGUUCUAAAAUUAGAUGCCCAAGAGUGGAAUAAAUCUAGUGGUUGCAAUAGGAUGCUGAUUAAAAAUAGGAUGCUGAUUAUAGAAUGUGCAAGAGCACUUACAAUAGGAUGUAUGAAUGGAAGAAAGGAACAUGCAGGUGGCAGUGAGUAAGAAUAGGUUGCUCACGGGUGGAAGUGAAAACGUGCAUGCAAUGGCCUAAAAAUAUAGGGUGCGCAUGAGUGAAAAGAGAGUGGUGGAUGGAGUUUACACGGUGCCCAAGUAGGGUGGUGAUGGCAGUUUAGAUAUAUAGUGUAGUCCAAAUGUAUAUGAUAAUAGUGAUUGCAGCAGAGAUUAUACGAUGGGCAGUGACUAAAACGUGACAAGAACUCGAAACUCCAAAAGUCUAAACCCAAUACCAGCAAUUCGACUCGACCGAUGUAAAUCAAACACAACUUGCCUGAACUAAGUAGUACUAGUAUAAGGCUCAAUGGGUCAUAGGAUGUUGGGAAUGAAAACUAAAUUUUUUUUGGCUUUUCUGGACUAUAGGAAAAAAAAUUACAAACUAAAAUCUCUCACCAAUCAAACCUUGCUCUGAUUACCACAUAAUAAGAACGACGGUGUCCCGAUCUUUCGGUGGAGAUGGAUAACUUCGAUCUCUCUGGAGCGACGUUCACGAUCCGACUACAACCGUCCAAGGACGCUGCACCUUAGCGAUCGAUACACCAAUUCCAGCGGUUGAUCACGAUCUUGUUGAUCACAACCAACCAAACCACUAGGGUAAUUCCUGCACGCAAUCGAAGAACAUGCAAGAACAGAUAGAACAGGCACUCAAUUGCCAAAUAAUACAAGAAGGAUCUGAUAUGAAUCACGAUAACAAUAUGGGGUUUUG
rnacentral:lncRNA from 1 species